UGAGCUCAAAUCGCACACGGCGCUUUUUCCGAUUGUUUUGUGUGCAAAAAACCGCUCGCUGAAGUAACAUUUUAGGCCUAAAAUAGAAGCAGCAGACAAUUUUCUUUAUAUUUUCAGUAUGUCUAGAAGAAGACGCCUAGAAGAUGACAGUGAUGAUAGCAGGAGUCAGAAGCGUCGGAGGACCACUACUGAUCAGAACGAGAUCGAGGAAAGGCUUGAAUCCCUCAUUACAAGAGUCGGAGAAAAGAGUACAUCAUCCCUAGAGAGCAAUUUGGAAGGUUUAGCCGGUGUCCUGCAAGCUGACCUGCCAAAUUACAAGAAUAAGAUCAUCGGUAUUCUGUGUGUGUGUUCAACUGAGCUGCCAGAAAAGUUGAGUGUCUACACAACCUUGGUUGGUCUCAUCAAUGCUAAGAACUAUGAAUGUGGAGGCGAUUUUUCGGAGGAGAUGUGGAGGCGGUUAAAGGAGCUGAUGAAGCAGAACGAGUGGGACAGAUGUCGCCUCUUAGUACGCUUCAUCGCUGACCUCGUCAACUGCCGCGUUGUGGACGUCUCCUCCAUGGUGCAGCUCUACGAAGCAUUCGUCGCUGUGACGCUAGAAGAAGGCAUCCCUCAGGUCAGGUCGGACUGGUUUGUGUACACUUUCCUCUCCAGUCUGCCGUGGGUAGGGCAAGAGAUUGCAGAGAAGAAGGAAGAAGAACUGGAUAAGAUGCUGAGCGUUGUUGAGACCUACAUGACGAAGAGAAAGAAGGACCAUAUUCCGAUGCUGAGGGUUUGGCACAGUGAUACUCCCCAUGUCCAGGAAGAUAGUAUUGACUGCCUGUGGGCCCAGACGUGCAAACUCCGUCGUGAUGACUGGAACCACAAGAGCAUCCUACGUCCCUACCUGUCCUUCGAUAGCAUCCUAUGCGAGGCUCUACAGCACACCUUGCCGCAGUUCACAGUCCCACCCCACAAUGAGGAGUGUGUCUACCCUUUACCCAAGGUGAUCUUCAGGAUGUUUGAUUACACAGAUGCACCCGAGGGCCCCACCAUGCCAGGACAUCAUUCCAUUGAGAGAUACUUAGUCGAAGAGCAACUGAGCUGCAUCAUUUCUGCCUACGUAAAGGAUCGCAAGGAGUGCGCUGCCCAGUUAGUGAGUUAUCACGGCAAGGCAAGAGUUCCUCUAAACUACAUGAUCGUAGAGGUGAUGUUUGGUCAGCUCUUCAACCUGCCCCAUCCUGUCAAGCAAGAAGCAGCCUACGCCAGUCUCCUGCUGGAGCUGUGUAAACUCCAACCAAGCUCACUCCCACAAGUUCUAGCACAAGCCACAGAGCUCCUGUACGAGAGACUGGACAAUAUGAAUCUCAACUGCAUCGAUCGCUUCGUCAAUUGGUUCUCACAUCAUCUCAGCAAUUUUCAAUUCCGCUGGAGCUGGGAUGAAUGGGCCGACUGUGUGAGCGUGGAUCCAGAGAUGCCCAGACCAAAGUUUGUCCGUGAAGUCUUGGUGAAAUGCAUGAGACUGUCCUACCAUCAGCGUAUUGUGGAGAGCAUUCCAAAUGCAUGCACGGAGGCGUUUGAAUCCCUUCUCCCUAAGCCGCCUGUACCCAUCUAUAAAUACAAUGAGGAAGGAGCAGGAUCUUUACCAGGCACCAUGAUUGCACACAAACUGAUGGACACCAUCAAGGCGAGAGCAACAACCACUGAAGUACUCGCUGUGCUGGAUGAUGUGCCAAACCCAACCCAGGCAGCUGAUAGUAUGGAAGAUGAGUCAACGUUCAAUCCCCUCAAGAUUGAUAUCUUUGUUCAGACACUUCUCUUUCUGGGCCAGAAAUCCUUCAGCCAUUCCUUCAGUGCACUCGCAAAGUUUCAUCCUGUGUUCAAAACCCUUGCGGACUCGGAAGAGAGCCAGAUCUACGUUCUUGAGAUGGUACGAGAGCUGUGGGUCAACCACCAACAGAUGAUUGGUGUCCUGAUCGAUAAGAUGCUGCGGACCCAGAUUGUCAGCUGCCCUGCAGUCAUUAACUGGCUUUUCUCUGGCUCCAUGAGCAAGGAGUUCACCAAGUAUUACGUCUGGGAGAUAAUCCACGCCACCUUGAGGAAGAUGAGCAAGCACGUUGGGAAGAUUGAGACCGAACUGCAGGAGGCAAGGGACAAAUCUAACAAGAAGAAGCGUGUGGACAUGGAGAGUGAAGAGGAAGAAGAGGAGGAGGACAGUGACGAGGACCCUGGUGACAUCGACGCUGAGAUUGAGAGAUUACAGGAGUCAUUGGAGACUGCCCAGAGUGAGCAGAAGAACCUGUUCCUCAUCAUAUUCCAGAGGUUCAUCAUGAUCUUGACGGAGCACAUAGCGACGAGUGAGAAUCGUGGCGUGGCAUUCCGUACCCCUUGGUAUAACUACUGUAUCCAGAGACUGCAGCAAAUAUUCCUCAUGCAUUACAACCAAGUGAGGUCUUACAGGAGCACCCUGGAGGGUCUACUCUUCACUGGAGACACAGACCCAAACAUCUUAAACGUGUUUCAACAAUUCUGCUCUCUCAGUUCAUGAUGUACUGUCCAGACACUAAACACCCCUGUGUAAGGUCCCCGUCAAUCGAGUAAAGGUCGAGUCACAGUGCAGCAAUAACGAAAACGAUAACAAUAACGACCCAAAGAGAACGCAUUCUAUUGGUUCAAUUGCUCCACGCAGAACCACGCUCAAUUAACCAACCGAGGGCGCUCAUUGUUAACAUUCUCGUGUGUUCUCGUUAUCGAGGCUUGUGUGAUGGGGCCUUAAAUCUCAGAAAGGAUACGGACAUUUUUCCUAAAUCUCCAUCAGGUAUCUUAAACCGCUUUCACACUAGACGGAUUAACCCAGGAAAUUCCCAGGUUGACAUUUUCUAACCCUGGCUAACUCCUGGGAAAGUUCACCAUUGGCUUGGGAGUAGGGUUAAGCAAAAGAUCUCUUGGGUUGGGUUAAUUUAACCCAGGAAAAAAAUUGCCUCAGCUGACAAUGGGGCGGCUUAAAUUUCCCACAAAUUUCCUAGGGUUUUGUGUCCCAGGAAUUGGAUACGGUGGUGUGAAAAAGGCUCCGUCAGGCCGUGUCCGAAACAACGACUUCGGCUACAGCUACGGCUAGAUCGCGCGCGUCUGCCUUUUCUUCAACACUGGCAGACGCGCUGAUCUAGACGUAGCUGUAGCCGAAGUCGUCGUUUCGGACACAGCCUUAGAACUUCUUAUACCCAAGGCCUCUCGUUUUCACAUUGAACAAGCAUAAAGUGAUAUUGAGUGGGCGAGAUGGAAAUUGGAAUUCUGUCAGGGGUAAGUGUGACGAUGUUCUAUCCUGCCAAAUGCCUUUUUAUUCAAGCGGGAUUCAAAGUUUUCAGAUGCCAAUUGAGACUGAUAUAUACUUCUGGACUUGCCUUUCCAGCCCUGUUCAUGAGGUGAUGUAAUUUCACUGUAAGCCAUGCCCGCUGAACAUAAACUUUAAAGCUCUGGAAUUUUCAAUAGUGUUAGCAGAGACUCCAAAGCUCAUUCAAAACUUAAAAUUACAUUCCUGUAUGUCAGUGGAGCGCCAGAAGAAGCUAGAGUAAUUCAACUUCUACCCACUUAAAUGGCAACUUACAAUGAAAACAAUCUGUACAAACCAAGCUUGCAUUUGUUGAGCUGACAAAGCAAGCCGACAAUGUUUUAAGCUACUCUUAAGCUGGCCUCAGGUUGACCUUGUGUCAACGAAAAACAGUCGGCGACUGACUUUUCAGGAUCACACUGCGCCUGAGCUAAGACCAUCGGGAACUUUUCAGUCAACGAUUAUUAAUGACCUGAGCGUAACUUCAAUGAUUUUAAGACAAUCUGAAACAGUGGCCGGCUUUAGUGUCGUGGCUGAGUGGUAUCAAGCAUGGAACAUAACGAUGGCUGUGUCAUCAGAGUGUGGGUUUGAAUCCCGGUCUUGGCACUUUUGUUUAGGAACAAGACACUUGACCACAUUUAAUCUACGAGGGUAGAGAUUGUUGAUGUGAAUUAUUAGCAACACGUGUGACAGUUUAUCUGCCUGUGCUGAGAUGGUUUCAGGAGUACUUAAAGGCACUGUACACGUUUGGUAAUUGUCAACGACCAGUGUUCUCACU